CCUGGCUCAGGACGAACGCUGGCGGCGUGCCUAAUACAUGCAAGUCGAACGAACUCUGGUAUUGAUUGGUGCUUGCAUCAUGAUUUACAUUUGAGUGAGUGGCGAACUGGUGAGUAACACGUGGGAAACCUGCCCAGAAGCGGGGGAUAACACCUGGAAACAGAUGCUAAUACCGCAUAACAACUUGGACCGCAUGGUCCGAGCUUGAAAGAUGGCUUCGGCUAUCACUUUUGGAUGGUCCCGCGGCGUAUUAGCUAGAUGGUGGGGUAACGGCUCACCAUGGCAAUGAUACGUAGCCGACCUGAGAGGGUAAUCGGCCACAUUGGGACUGAGACACGGCCCAAACUCCUACGGGAGGCAGCAGUAGGGAAUCUUCCACAAUGGACGAAAGUCUGAUGGAGCAACGCCGCGUGAGUGAAGAAGGGUUUCGGCUCGUAAAACUCUGUUGUUAAAGAAGAACAUAUCUGAGAGUAACUGUUCAGGUAUUGACGGUAUUUAACCAGAAAGCCACGGCUAACUACGUGCCAGCAGCCGCGGUAAUACGUAGGUGGCAAGCGUUGUCCGGAUUUAUUGGGCGUAAAGCGAGCGCAGGCGGUUUUUUAAGUCUGAUGUGAAAGCCUUCGGCUCAACCGAAGAAGUGCAUCGGAAACUGGGAAACUUGAGUGCAGAAGAGGACAGUGGAACUCCAUGUGUAGCGGUGAAAUGCGUAGAUAUAUGGAAGAACACCAGUGGCGAAGGCGGCUGUCUGGUCUGUAACUGACGCUGAGGCUCGAAAGUAUGGGUAGCAAACAGGAUUAGAUACCCUGGUAGUCCAUACCGUAAACGAUGAAUGCUAAGUGUUGGAGGGUUUCCGCCCUUCAGUGCUGCAGCUAACGCAUUAAGCAUUCCGCCUGGGGAGUACGGCCGCAAGGCUGAAACUCAAAGGAAUUGACGGGGGCCCGCACAAGCGGUGGAGCAUGUGGUUUAAUUCGAAGCUACGCGAAGAACCUUACCAGGUCUUGACAUACUAUGCAAAUCUAAGAGAUUAGACGUUCCCUUCGGGGACAUGGAUACAGGUGGUGCAUGGUUGUCGUCAGCUCGUGUCGUGAGAUGUUGGGUUAAGUCCCGCAACGAGCGCAACCCUUAUUAUCAGUUGCCAGCAUUAAGUUGGGCACUCUGGUGAGACUGCCGGUGACAAACCGGAGGAAGGUGGGGAUGACGUCAAAUCAUCAUGCCCCUUAUGACCUGGGCUACACACGUGCUACAAUGGAUGGUACAACGAGUUGCGAACUCGCGAGAGUAAGCUAAUCUCUUAAAGCCAUUCUCAGUUCGGAUUGUAGGCUGCAACUCGCCUACAUGAAGUCGGAAUCGCUAGUAAUCGCGGAUCAGCAUGCCGCGGUGAAUACGUUCCCGGGCCUUGUACACACCGCCCGUCACACCAUGAGAGUUUGUAACACCCAAAGUCGGUGGGGUAACCUUUUAGGAACCAGCCGCCUAAGGUGGGACAGAUGAUUAGGGUGAAGUCGUAACAA
rnacentral:rRNA from 1 species